GCUUUGGCAGUGCACAUGAAAAAAAAAAAUUGGAAUGACAGAGAUUACCCUGGCCCCUGCACAAAGGUGACAACCAAAUUCAUGAUGUUCCUGUGUUUAU
rnacentral:snRNA from 1 species